GUGGGGAAUAUUGGGCAAUGGGGGAAACCCUGACCCAGCAACGCCGCGUGAAGGAAGAAGGUUUUCGGAUCGUAAACUUCUAUCCUUGGUGAAGAUAAUGACGGUAGCCAAGAAGGAAGCCCCGGCUAACUACGUGCCAGCAGCCGCGGUAAUACGUAGGGGGCAAGUGUUGUCCGGAAUGAUUGGGCGUAAAGGGCGCGUAGGCGGCCUGGUAAGUCUGGAGUGAAAGUCCUGCUUUUAAGGUGGGAAUUGCUUUGGAUACUGUCGGGCUUGAGUGCAGGAGAGGUAAGCGGAAUUCCCGGUGUAGCGGUGAAAUGCGUAGAGAUCGGGAGGAACACCAGUGGCGAAGGCGGCUUACUGGACUGUAACUGACGCUGAGGCGCGAAAGUGUGGGGAGCAAACAGGAUUAGAUACCCGAGUAGUCC
rnacentral:rRNA from 1 species